rnacentral:rRNA from 1 species
CACGUAGGGCGCAAGCGUUGUCCGGAAUUAUUGGGCGUAAAGAGCUCGUAGGCGGUCUGUUACGUCUGCUGUGAAAACCCUGGGCUUAACCCUGGGCUUGCAGUGGAUACGGGCAGACUAGAGGCAGGUAGGGGAGAAUGGAAUUCCCGGUGUAGCGGUGAAAUGCGUAGAUAUCUGGAGGAACACCGGUGGCGAAGGCGGCAUCCUGGACCACGACUGACGCUGAGUGAGCGAAAGCCAGGGGAGCAAACGGG